rnacentral:lncRNA from 10 species
AUGUCAUUUGUAAUACUGAAAUGCAGUAUGAAAAUAUUUUAAAAAACUGUAGAUCAUAUCUCACUAUGCCUUUCACCCUAAAUGCAUUAGAAACAAUUAGCUAGUACUCUUUUAUGAUUUAACCAAUCAUAGUGAGUCAAAAGGGCCAUCUGACUUUUUUCGAAAUGAUAAAGCAAAACAAAAUCAACAGUAAACUCCUUUAGUUUGACUAAUUAUCUAUGAAGAAAUAUAAUCAGCUGCAAAAUCAUGCUUAGAAAAACCAAUUUUCAAAUAAUUUGUCCUUCAGACCUAAAUAUCUGCUUCCAAAUAGUAAUCAAACAUUUCCUUUCCUUGAAGCUGUCAUGCUUUUGAAAACCAUCCUGCCAAGCACAUGGGCGUCAUUUUGGAUCAAAUAGCAGUGUCCUGUAUCCUGUUCAUUUUCAAGAUAAAAACUCUCAGAUUAAAAGCUGAAGUGGAUUUCAGCAGUGGUUCUUCUGUCACUACUUAUCUGUUAGUAAAUGAGGCCAGGAGAAAGAUAAAAAUCUACUCAAUACAGAAAGAAAAGCAUUGACAUUUGGACAACAGGUAUAUAAAAGGCUGACUUUAAGCAGAAGUUAGAGUCCCUUUAAGGAUAUCCCAAAUUAAAGCACUCCCUGUACAAUAUGAUUAGCUUCACUACACUUUCAAAGCUAUCACCAGUUUUGACUAGUCUAAAAAAAAAAACAUGGUUUGCUACCUGGUUUAAAAGGCUUAAGGUUUAAAAAAUAAGGAAACAUAACUAAUUUUGUGUGUGUGUGUGUUUGAGAUAGCAUCUCACUCUACUGUGCCUGGCUAAUGUGAUCUUCUUUUUUUUCUUUUUUGUAGAGACAGGGUCUCCCUAUGUAGGUCAGGCUGGUCUCAAACUCCUGGGCUCAAGUGAUCCUCCUACCUUGGCCUCCUAAAGUGCUGGGAUUACAAGCAUGAGCCACAGCACCCAGCCUAACCUUUAAUGCCAACCUCAAAACUGAAUUUCAAAAUAGGCUACCUAUAAAAAUACACUGCUUGUAAUACUCGGCAAUAAAUUAAGAAAAACAAAAACUUAUAGUUUUUGCUAGUAACUGGUUAGUUUACUCUUAAGAGAGUAAACAUAUUUGGAGAAUUAAAUGAGGAACCAGAGAUUUUGAUGUUUCAUUUUAAUUAAGGAAUCUCAAUUGGCAAAAUUACAUUUUUCAGUUCUGCUCCCACUUGGUCCUCCCCACUGGUUUUAUAGGAAAAGCAAAUGAUAUUAACCUAAAAAGGCACUGCCAUGUUUAUAGAGUAAGUUACACAGUAGUAACUAAUCUAAAUAAAACUAUCAGUGAAAGAACUCAGGUGCUUUAUUACUAAUAUCACCCAAACUCUAAUCAUUUGUUUCUUACUAAUGACAACAAAACGAUCCUUAACUUUUAAAAAGUAAUUAAAAGUUUAAAUACAAGACAACUGGUUAAUUCAUUUCUCUACUUCUAACUCUAAGAAUAAAAUUCAUAGAAGAUAGCAAUGAUUCACUUGAAGCUAAGACUCCACCAACAUUUUUCCUGACACAAAUGUUAAAUUAUAUAAAGGAAGCUAUCAAAAGUUUUUUUUAAAAUAGUCUAUAAAACCACCUCCAUGAUAUUGUACUGGAAAUGUACAAGCAAAGAGCUGGAGUAUUCUCCAAAAGAACAUUUAGGUAGGUAGUAUCAAUUCCCUAAGAAACACAUCAUGUCAACACGAUUGGUUGUACAUAGAACCACUUACCACUAUCUGACAGUUUUCAGUUUAAUCCCUGAUGUUUUCCUUAUUUCACUAGUACCAAAAAAUCUCUCCUCAUUAUGAGUCCACAUAUUUUUUUUGAAGUAAGUACAAAUAUUUCAUCUAGUUAUCUACAAAUCCCUAUGCAGACUAAUUCCAUGUUUAUAAAGCUCAUUAAUCAAUUUCAAAUAACUAUAUAAGAAUCAUAAUUCAUUCCUAAGGGUGUGUGGUGUUUCAAUGCCUAUUGUGUGCUUCGUUUUUCAAAGGCAUAGAAUGAAAUUUACUGACAAGCUACAAAGUAGCAUUUAAUGCAAUUUUUAAUGUUUAUUUUCUGAUAAAUAUUCAAGAGAUGGCAUAUUUACCUCAGCUAAAGUAAUAAGAAGUGGAUCAAAUGAAAGACUUUCAGGAGGACAUUCCCACUGUAAUCUGUGUUUUACUGAACCAUGUACCAAUCUAAAAUAUAAAAGUUAGUGAAUGCAACAAGAAAAAUAUAAUUCUAUAUUAAGCAGGGAUAAUCUAACAUACAGUAUAACCAUAUCAGAUUUAUUUUGUAACAUGUAGGAAUACCAUAACUUUAUAAGAUAGUACAAGGACAUUUUACAAAGUAAUGUCAAUAAUCCUACACAUUCCUAGUCUUACAGCAAAAGUGACCCACAUGUGUUAAGGUUACAGUUUUGGUGCUUAAGCAUGUUGCUGUCUGUGAAUCUUAACACAGAUAUGCCAGGUGAUAUCUUUCAGUGAUAUGACACAAUAGGUAAUCUACAGAAAUGAAAAAAUGCAAACAAAACAUAGUAAUUAUUAAAAAUGUUUCACAAGGAACAUUGUUUUUCAGAUAUAGAUCAUGUAACCCUAACACUAAUAACCUGAAGGCUAAACCAAGUUUCAUCUCUGUUAAAGAGAAGAAAACUGAGGCCAGGAAGGUAAAAUGGCCCAUUUAGGGUUACAAAGUGGUGGCCCCUGAAUUAGGAUUUCUGCUUCUUUUAACUGCUUUUUUUUGAGACGAAGUUUCACUCUUGUUGCCCAGGCUCAAGUGUAAUGGCGCGAUCUUGGCUCACCGCAACCUCCGCCUCCCAGGUUCAAGCAAUUCUCCUGCCUAAGCCUCCCCAGUAGCUGGGAUUACAGGCAUGCACCACCACACCCGGCUAAUUUUGUAUUUUUUUUUUUUUUUUUAAGUAGAGAUGGGGUUCCUCCAUGUUGGUCAGGCUGGUCUCGAACUCCUGACCUCAGGUGAUCCACCCGCCUUGGCCUCCCAAAGUGCUGGGAUUACAGCCUUUACUGAGGAAUAACUAACACGCAAUAAACUGCAUGUAUUUACAGUAUACAAUUUGGUAUGUUUUUAUGUACGAAUACACUCAAGGAACUAUCAUCACAAUCAUGACAGUGAACUUAAUCCAUCAACCUAAAUGCUUCUUUGAACUCCUUUGUAAUGUUCUUGACUUCUUGACUCCUUUGGGCUUAUUUUCAUAAGAGUAAGACGUCUCUCUAAUAUUGUUUUUACAUUUUUGCAACAAUAAGUUUUGGAGGGGUGGGGAGUAGAGAAUUAAGAAACUUUAAAUAGGGUUUCAAUUCAGAAUGUAAAUAUGAAAUAACAAUAAACUGAAGAGUAUUUCUUGAGCUUAUUUUUCACUCCAAAUCCGAAAAUACCAUUAAAAACUAGAUUUCUUGAAUUUUGGAACAAAAAUAAAUAAAUGUUGUGAUUAUUUCCAUAAUCAAAAUAAAAUUUUCUAUCAUCUACAACAGGCUAAAACUGGAUGAACUCUGAAGAAAUAAAUGCUUUAUAGAAAUAAAUUGUAAAAUGAUACAUUAUCUGUAGUAUUUUUUUUUUAAAGUUCUGACAU